AACCUUUGACAAUAGGCAAAGAGACACCUUGUUGUUGAUGGUGUUCUUUUAUCAGUUAGAAGCAGAGCAUAUGGCUGUCCUUGGUCCAUCCUCACUUGAUACCUGGGCUUGGUGACCAAAGCUGUUUUAUGCCUAGGACACAUAA